UUCCGUCGCUAUUCAUCGCUGCCUGUGCUGUGCCAAGUUUACUUUUUAUUUGUUUUUUUGCACUUAAAUCUCUCUUGAACUCACUCUAUCCGCAUCAGAUUUCAUAUUCAAAAAAUCUCAAUAGAGAAAAUAUAAAUUUGUUAGGGGUUUUCCUCAAUUGGGAUUGUAUUGUGAAUGAAUUUUGAUUUUCUAUCAUUUAUUUCCCCGUGAUUGUUUGCCCUCUCACCCUGUUCUGUUUUUUCAAUCUGCAAUCCUAGGGUUCAAUCAAUGGCAGUUUUGCUUUUCAUUUUGUUUGUUUGGAUGUUCAAACUUUUGUUUUGAUUGUCAGAAAGUAAAAACAACUACAGCUUUGUUGUCUAGGGUUUUCGUGCUUGUUUCAUUAUCGAACAUGGCUUCCUGUACAAGCUUUGUUUGGGACAAGUCCAAAUCUGAAAAUGCAUCUUCUUCACCGGCAAAGAAGCAAAGGUGCGAGGAUUUCCCACCACCACCACCAUCUUUAUCAGAAAAAAACAGAUCCAAGAUCGAUUAUCAAAGUCUAUAUCUAUGAUUCAGAUGAUGAGAUAGAUUAUGAAGAUGUGGAUGAGUUUGGAAUGCAUGAGAUGACUGACAAGGAAUAUAAGGAGUAUUCUAGGCAGAUAAAGGACAGUGAGGGCUUUGAUGUCAUGGACUUUCCAGAGUCCUUCUCAUGCGGUAAAAUUAUUCCUAUUAUAGACCUCAAUGAUCGUGCUAACCACCUCAAAACUCUUUCUGAAUUAGCGCUCAAGGAAUACUAUGAGAAAGAGAAAACAAAGCUAGAGUUUGUGAAGUUUGUAAAGGCAAACGGGGAGCUGUGUGAGGGCCUUCAAUAUUAUAUCACCUUUGAUGUCAAGGAUGCUGACGCUGUUGAUGGUCCUAUUCUAACAUUUCAAGCUUUGGUGUGGGACGGGAUCUACAGGAUUGAAGUACUGCUUUGUAGGCUGAAAAUUAGUAAUUAGUCAAGGUAAAUAAGCUAGUUGGGCAUGAUAAUUUUGAGAGAUAUUACUUUAAAAUGAUUUCAUGUUCGCAGUUCUUUGUUUGCUUGCUGGAAAACUUUUCUAUGCUUUCUCAAUUUACAUUUAUUGUCUUAAUGAAGUAUUGCCCAUAUUGAUAUCCUCUUUUGUUUGCUUUAGUGGCAUAUUUUAACAAUGCUUAAUGACGCAGAGUAAGCAUUUAUACCCAAUAACAAUUUUACCCCAUUUGAGACGUGCAAGUGAUGGAUUUCUACAUCAUUAAACAUUCUUAUAAAUAUUCAUAUGUGAUGAAAUUAAAGCUCUCAAAGUCUUAUCUUGUUCUUUUCAUCACCAAAAUUAUUACUAUAUGUGUGGCUUUGGGAUUUUUUUUCUUGAGAACUAGUGUAUUUUCUUCUAUUACUGUUGGAUUUCCAAGUUUAUUGAGUUCAUCUUCAACUACUCUAUAUCCCAAGAUUUAGAAGGGCCCUAGGAAGCACGAACAAUACUGUGGAGGAAGGGUCUUGUGUCCGACACUUGUGGCAGACUUGACACCCUUUGGAUGCUCCUAAAAGGGUGUCUGACAUGUUUUCAACGUGUUUUAAUUAAAAAAUCAAUUGCAUAAUAUUGGAUACUUUACCAACACAUCGUGUACAUAUCUUGAUCCUUCCGAACAUGUCCUAUAUGGUGGACCUCUUCAUUAUAACAAUGUCUUGUGUCCUUAUAAUACAACUUAUGCAUUCGAAAUAUGUUUUAAAACGCUUAUUAGAAGAAUACAUCUUGUAUAAAUUAUGUUACAUGGACUUGAUUACGAGUGCUAGGUUCUGGUGUGGGUGGCAGUGCGUGCCCAACGUUAGAUCUUCAUAAAUUUAAAUUUUAGGAUAUCAAGAUAUGCACCCAAAAUGGAUAUGGGUUUGGGGAUACACCUCAAACACACACAUAUAUAUUGCAUAUUGUUUACUAUUCUUAGAUAACAUGUAGUAAAUUAUUUGGAAAUUACAUGAAAUUGAAUGGGAUCUAAGGAGCAUAAGGAAUACAUAAAUAAUUUGAUGUGUGAGAAACUAGAAAUGUUUCUUUACUAGCUAAUGUGAGUGUCUUUUCUUCAGAUAUUAGAUAAACUUAGAGGAUCUGAGUAUCUAAAUUGGAUACGGGUGUUUGACACAUAUCACACACCAUAUUUGGCGGACACGGGUAUACUAGGGGAAGUAGAAGAGUCCAUGUAACAUAGUGUGUAAUACAAUGUUCGAUAAUUGUUUUGCAUUCUUUUGAAUGUAAUUGGUAUGUGAAUGAUAUGUUGAUGUUUAAGUUAUAAAAAAAAAUUUUAAUGUAUAAAAUGUGUUGUGUUACAUAUUUUUUAUUAUCUUUGAAUAAAUUAUUCAUAAAUAUGAUAUAUAAUAAAUUUGUAAAAACAUAAAAUUUUAACGUGUACCAAGCAUGUUGUGUCCUACUUUCUUUUAUGAAAAUCGACAUGUCAACGUGUCCAUGUUGUGUAUGUGCUACUUAGGAAUGGCCUUUAGGUUUCCAGACCUGGAAAGCAUCUGUGGUACUUCAGCCUUUAAAUCUACCAAAUUUCAAUGGAUUUUUAUAGUUCUGUCUUGGAUCUUCCUCCUUUUGAAAUACGUAUGUCUUUAUCUUUAAUUUCUCUUUGCACUUGCUGAAUUUCACCAUUCAUCCUUGCAUUCUGUCUCGCUGUAGCACUGUUUGCUAUCUCCCUAGCUACCCGUUUGUGAAUAUUCUUUUCAACUUUUGCUCAUUCCAGAAUUUCAACAAUAUUCAUUUUGUUUCAUCUAAUUCUCCAUUCUUCAUGCAGUACUUUUAAUAUUCAGAUCUGGUUUCAAAUUCUUGUUGUUUGACAAUUACAAUAUCUCUAGAUUGUCAUUCGCUUACAUCCUAUUUGUGGCUUUCUCGUAGUUCAAGAAAUUUAGGGAUUCUUGAUUUGAAUUCUUCAUAGAGAAAGCUCAUGCGAUACAAUAGCCACCUUCGGAGCACCAUUCUUACCUUGGAUUUUAGGAAAUUCAACUUCAAAAUUUGAUCCAAACUCACAUGUAGACAUUGCAAAUUAGGAUCUGUUGUAACAAUUUGCUUGCACCAGAGAUUAGGUAGAGAGAAAAUUUAGAGCAGAAGCUCUUAUUUUCACUUAAUUUUUUUUCCAGUAAUGCAAUAAUGUUCCAUUUAAGUCUGGACUUCUGAGAAUUUUUUCGAUAGCUGAAAUUCUCUCAGCAUUCAGAGUAUGAAAAUUUUUGCCAAUACAUCAAUUGUCCGAUUGUGAAGCUUUCAAAACCUUAAAAGUAGGAUUCUGAGCAUUCAAUUCGGGCAAUUCAGGAUUGAAAAGAGACACAGGAUCUCAAUCGCCAUAGGAAUUAGCGAAAGUUUCAGAGAGUUGAGGAGCAGAGGAUUACUAUAGAGAGAGAUGCAAGAGAGUAUAUUGCUGAAGAGAUAGCAGUCAUAGAGAGAGCAUUGAGACGUGGUCUCUUGAGCACCAGUGGAGAUGCAUAUCCAAGCCUUGGAUCUCUGUUAUUUUGGAUUGUAAAUCUAGUAUUGGCCAUUUGAGGGACUCAAAUUUGGAGGCGAGCCAUGUUUAAACCACUAACUUCCCCCACUUCGUCUUGUUUUUCUUACCAAAUUGAACAUUAUUCAUUAUGACGCAAUUCUUUUUGUGUUGAUUGUUGAUUGCAUUUAUUUUCAGUUGUUUGAUUUUUACAUUCGAUUAUUAGAGGCAUGAUUAAUAUAAAGGAAUUUUCCUUUUCCCCAUUUUUGAUGGGCUGUUGGCUAGUGAACCGAUCGAUUUGAACCAAUAUAAAUUGGUUCAGCUUGGUAGUUUACUUGCCUCAUCAGUUUUGGUGCUGAUUUGCCAAAAAACCUUCAAGUUUGGUUUGGUAAAAAUCUCAUACCCCGAGCAAGCCGAAUAGUUGGAUACGUGUCGGACACAUGUCCAUAUGUGUCUUAUUAUUUCUUUAUCUUUUUUUACAUCCAAACACGUUUCAGACACUUUGGAAAUACGCGUGUCCAUUGUUUAGAUACAUAAGAAACACAUUACAAGUUUGGAAAACAUAACUUGAGUUGAGGUCCAAUGACAGAUAAAAACAAUUUAGUUUUAGAUCUAUUAUUAAUCUCUUUAUUACUUUAGGAACUAGUGUCAUGUUGUAUAUUUUUUUUAAUUAUCUUUGAAAGAAAUAAUCAUAUUUAUGGUAUAUAAUAAUUGGAAUUUGGACUUUAUAUAGAUUGAUAUAUGCAGGAAAUCAGGUGUAAUUUAAAUGAGAUCGGGGUUUGAAUUUACUAAAAGCUUUGAACACUAAGGAUAUAUUGGUGGCUCAUCUGAAUCUUGUGGCCAUGGUUAAAUAUUUCGAUAUAUGAAGUCCAUGUUAUUUUUGUCAUUAGAGAAAUGUGAAAGUCAAUUAAUGCCCCUAGCUAGUUUUGGAUCUAGUCUUAGCUGAGUUGUGCUGAUUUGUUUGAAUGGUUUAUUUAUGUGUGGAUUUAGUCUUAGCAUGUUGAUUGUUUUCUGACCAAUAAUUGAUAGUUUCUUGCAAGUUGAGAAUUCAAGUAUCCUUUUCCUCCUUGUUUCUUAUCUAUUAUUUUAUAUGUCCUUUUUUCUUUCCCCUUUUUUGUUUCAGUAAUGCUUAGAGUUAUAUAAAAAAUUCUGUUAUUUUGCUUUUGAUUUGUUUGCUUGACCCAAAGAUCAGCAUGAAUUUUAUACCUUAUAUGUGCAUCCUUAGCACAAAAGUUUAUUGCAAAUUAUAUCACAUUAGAGGUUUGACAAUAGUUGUUAUGUAAACAAAUUUAUGAGUCUCACUCAUUGAUGUUAUUCUAUGAUAUCUUUAUCUCUGUACAUUUUUAAGUGACGAGGCCCAAGGGUAUCUGGGGAUUUGCUAGCGCUGCACAUUUGGUUAUGUGAUUGAUAAUUUUGACAGGGAUUGCAUAUAGCUUUUCCUGGUGUUGAAAGAGUUGUACUAUUAAUUUUAUUGUUCUUACUUGUGUGCACAUGUAUAAAUAUAAAAAAGAAGAAAAGUAAAUGAUCACUACAUCUUAAGAAAAAUCGUAAGCUCAUAUUAACUAACAUUAGGAAACAAUAUGAAGAAAAUAUUAUAAAUAUGAAAUAGAUGACCUUAAGCUCUAUAUGAUCAGAAGAUAUGACUUCAGGCCCAGUUAAGAUUCAAGUAAAUUUAAAGGGUUUAUCAGUACAUUAAUUUUUUUUUAUUCUAUGUAUAUUUCCCUUUCUAUACACACACACGUUAAUAGUGGUGAGGAACUAUUGUGUAGUUAUCUUCAACACAAAACAUUCACAUUGUUUUCUGGAUAUGAAUUUUCUUUAUUGCAGAAUGUUUACUUAGUUUUGCGGGUAAAUUGAGAUUUGGUGAACUUACACUCAGACCCACAAUUUUGGCAUAAUUACACCGGCACCCUUCUAGUAUCGCAUUUCGUAUUUUCAAUUACACCAAUUUCUGUCAAUUGACUGUUGGUCUUCUAACUAGUAGACCGUGGCGCGAGGAAAAUUUGUGAUAUGCUAUUUAGUCAUUUCAUUGAUAUACAAAAUUAUAUAUAAAAUACAUAUAACUCGGAAUUAGAAAAAGUUAAUCACUCACAAACUUUAAUUAGAGCAAUUAUUAGCUCACCUCUCUUCCUCUUCCUCUUCCUCUUCUUUUUCCUCAGUUCCAAUCUUUAUAGUUAUAUUAAACUCCCCACCAAUGGUCACCAAAUCAAAAAGUGAAAUGAAAUCGCCAUCGCCAGUUAGAAGAUUGUCAUCCUUGUCUUCCACCGAAUCCUUGACAGUAGCCACCGAGAGGUUCUGAUUUUGAAUGUUGUGAUGGCUAAUUCUGAGUUUUUUCAUGGUUGAUUUUUAUUUUGGCUCAGCACUGGGUGGGAGGAACAGGGGUUUGGAUGUGGGUUUAGAGGGUGGGUCAGCGUUGGACAGCAGGUAAGAGGGGUGCAUCAGCACUGUAAGGGAGGAAUGGGAGGCUGGGAAGAGAGUGGGUUGGUGUUGGAAGAGAGGGAAAGGGGUGUGUCGCUGCCAGGAGGGAGGAACAGGGGUUAGAUUGGGGGAAGAGGGCUGUGUUGCUGUUGUGAAGGAGGAAGAGGGGUGCAUUGCCACAUUUGGUACACCAACAUUAGGGGUGUGAGUAUUUCAUGAAGGUAAUAUGCUCAUGGAGUCUGAGAGAUGAAAGGGUGCAUUACUUUGAAUUAAACCAAUCUAGAAUUUGAAAUUCAUAUUUGAAGUGGUGGUAGGGUUGUGUCUGCUAGAGGCGGAACGCUCUUUAUUGACCUUUAAAGCGUGGAUAUUGAGAGGGAUUAUUUAUAUAUUUUUAUUAGAAUGUUAA